AGCUCCAAUAGCGUAUAUUAAAGUUGCUGCAGUUAAAAAGCUCGUAGUUGCAUUUCCGAGGCAAGGGAUUAGUCCGACCUUUGGUGGGUAUUUAAUCCUCUUGCCUCGUCCUUGAGUGGUGCUUCUUGGUAUUAAGUUAUCGAGGAGAUAGCCGCUCAUCGUUUACUGUGAGAAAAUUAGAGUGUUCAAAGCAGGCUUAUGCCGUUGAAUAUAUUAGCAUGGAAUAAUAAGAUAGGACCUCGGUACUAUUUUGUUGGUUUGAGAACCAAGGUAAUGAUGAAUAGGGACAGUUGGGGGUAUUCGUAUUCAGUUGUCAGAGGUGAAAUUCUUAGAUUUACGGAAGACGAACUUCUGCGAAAGCAUUUUCCAAGGAUGUUUUCA
rnacentral:rRNA from 1 species